rnacentral:rRNA from 1 species
GGACGAAAGUCUGACGGAGCAACGCCGCGUGAGUGAUGAAGGUUUUCGGAUCGUAAAACUCUGUUGUUAGGGAAGAACAAGUACAAGAGUAACUGCUUGUAUCUUGACGGUACCUAACCAGAAAGCCCCGGCUAACUACGUGCCAGCAGCCGCGGUAAUACGUAGGGGGCGAGCGUUGUCCGGAAUUAUUGGGCGUAAAGCGCGCGCAGGCGGUCCUUUAAGUCUGAUGUGAAAGCCCACGGCUUAACCGUGGAGGGUCAUUGGAAACUGGAGGACUUGAGUACAGAAGAGGAGAGUGGAAUUCCACGUGUAGCGGUGAAAUGCGUAGAGAUGUGGAGGAACACCAGUGGCGAAGGCGACUCUCUGGUCUGUUACUGACGCUGAGGCGCGAAAGCGUGGGGAGCGAACAGGAUUAGAUACCCUGGUAGUCCACGCCGUAAACGAUGAGUGCUAGGUGUUAGGGGGUUUCCGCCCCUUAGUGCUGAAGUUAACGCAUUAAGCACUCCGCCUGGGGAGUAUGGCCGCAAGGCUGAAACU